rnacentral:rRNA from 1 species
UACGAAGGGGGCUAGCGUUGUUCGGAAUUACUGGGCGUAAAGCGCGCGUAGGCGGUUUUGCAAGCCAGAGGUGAAAUGCCUGAGCUCAACUCAGGAAUGGCCUUUGGGACUGCGAGGCUUUGAGGACUGGGGAGGUGAGUGGAAUUCCCAGUGUAGAGGUGAAAUUCGUAGAUAUGGGGAAGAACACCGGUGGCGAAGGCGGCUCACUGGCCAGUUUCUGACGCUGUAGCGCGAAAGCGUGGGGAUCAAACAGG